rnacentral:rRNA from 1 species
UACGGGGGGGGCGAGCGUUGUUCGGAAUUAUUGGGCGUAAAGGGUGCGUAGGCGGUGCGGUAAGUUUGGUGUGAAACCUCCAGGCUCAACUUGGAGCUUGCACCAAAAACUGCCGUGCUAGAGUGUGGGAGAGGAGAGUGGAAUUCCCGGUGUAGCGGUGAAAUGCGUAGAUAUCGGGAGGAACAUCGGUGGCGAAGGCGGCUCUCUGGACCACUACUGACGCUGAGGCACGAAAGCCAGGGGAGCAAACAGG